GUGAGUCGGAACUCUAUGGAGGUGGCAGCGGGUACCGAGUGGCGGCUGCAGCAGCGACUCCUCUGAGCUGAGUUUCAGGCCGUCCCCUACUCCUUCCUCCCCCUUCCCUCCCCCUUUUUUUUGUUUUCCGUUCCCCUUUCCCCUCCCUUCCCUAUCCCCGACGACCGGAUCCUGAGGAGGCAGCUGCGGUGGCAGCUGCUGAGUUCUCGGUGAAGGUAUUUCAUUUCUCCCGUCCCCUCCCCUCCCCACCCCAUCUAUUAAUAUUAUUCUUUUGAAGAUUCUUCGUUGUCAAGCCGCCAAAGUGGAGAGUGCGAUUGCAGAAGGGGGUGCUUCUCGUUUCAGGUAUGUGUAGAUUUAUUUUGGGGAAUCCUUUUGAAAAGGACAGUCCUAAAAACUAGUUACCAUAGCAAAUAAGUCCGACUUAAUGGGCUGCAAUUUUCAUUUGAAAAGUUCUUAAGUUUUCAUUGACAGCCUUCUAAGAACUGCCAUCUGAAGAAUAAAUAAAAUCAAUUAUUUGCAUUUC
rnacentral:sRNA from 1 species